rnacentral:rRNA from 1 species
GAUGAACGCUGGCGGCGUGCCUAAUACAUGCAAGUCGAGCGAACAGACGAGGAGCUUGCUCCUCUGACGUUAGCGGCGGACGGGUGAGUAACACGUGGUUAACCUACCUAUAAGACUGGGAUAACUUCGGGAAACCGGAGCUAAUACCGGAUAAUAUAUUGAACCGCAUGGUUCAAUAGUUAAAGACGGUUUUGCUUUCACUUAUAGAUUGAUCAGGACCGCAUUAGCUAGUUGGUAAGGUAACGGCUUACCCAGGCAACGAUGCUUAGCCGACCUGAGAGGGUGAUCGGCCACACUGGAACUGAGACACGGUCCAGACACCUACGGGAGGCAGCAGUAGGGAAUCUUCCGCAAUGGGCGAAAGCCUGACGGAGCAACGCCGCGGGAGUGAUGAAGGUGUUCGGAUCGUAAAACUCUGUUAUUAGGGAAGAACAAAUGUGUAAGUAACUAUGCACGUCUUGACGGUACCUAAUCAGAAAGCCACGGCUAACUACGUG